ACAAAGAAGCGCCAGAUCCCUAGGGGGAUGACGAGGAAGACAGUUAUCGAAAGUUCGGCGGGAGCUGUCUGGGUUCACAGCCCUAGUAUUAGACAAAACAUUUGAGCAAUCAAAUGGACAGAGAAGAUAC
rnacentral:ncRNA from 1 species